rnacentral:rRNA from 1 species
UUAUGGCUCAGGACGAACGCUGGCGGCGUGCCUAACACAUGCAAGUCGAGCGAGGAGAUCCUCGGGAUGAUCCUAGCGGCGGACGGGUGAGUAACACGUGGGCAACCUGCCUCAUAGAGAGGAAUAGCCUUCCGAAAGGGAGAUUAAUACCUCAUAACAUUGCAGUUUCGCAUGGAACAGCAAUUAAAGGAGCAAUCCACUAUGAGAUGGGCCCGCGGCGCAUUAGCUAGUUGGUGAGGUAACGGCUCACCAAGGCGACGAUGCGUAGCCGACCUGAGAGGGUGAUCGGCCACAUUGGGACUGAGACACGGCCCAGACUCCUACGGGAGGCAGCAGUGGGGAAUAUUGCACAAUGGGGGAAACCCUGAUGCAAGCAACGCCGCGUGAGUGAUGACGGCCUUCGGGUUGUAAAGCUCUGUCUUCAGGGACGAUAAUGACGGUACCUGAGGAGGAAGCCACGGCUAACUACGUGCCAGCCGCUGC